rfam:Myotis davidii contig122724, whole genome shotgun sequence.
GGCAGUUCUCAGGUGAUACACCGCGGAAUCGGGCUCUGUUCUCUCUGAUUCUGGGGUGUGUCACUGGAGAACUGUU